rnacentral:misc_RNA from 1 species
GUGCAGAAGCACAGAACGAAACGAACGAACGCGAGGAGAGGAAGCGAGGCGAGACGACGAGACGAGAGAUAUUGUGUCGAGAAAAUAAGAUCGAACGAAGGAAAAAGUUGUUAAUCGAUCACAUUUGUAUAUGUGAGAAGUGCAGUACGUGCGGUGUGUUCAUAUCAUAUUGAAGACACACGUGUGAAACUGAGAUUUGGUUCUAAUAUCCGGCUGGUUUGAUAGCAUAUCUCGUUGUCGAGUUGUAAUCGGAAAGAAGGGAACGUUUCAUCGUUGUGCUCUGCAUUCAUACACGAGAUAUCGUCGUAUGAACAGAAAAAAAAGUGUGUGUACGUGAAGAGCGAAAAAAAAAAAAUUAAUUUCUGUGGAUUUUUAGAGAGAGUGAGAAAGAAAAAACUUCAUCGUCGAAUUUUUUUUUUCUUUCGUGGCGUGUGCAUUUAUAUAGAUCGAAAACAAUCAAAGAAGAAGACGCAUCCACAGAGACAGGCACGCAAAACAAUCCAGGCGCUUGCUUUAUCAUCACACAUACACACCCACACAUACACUACAUAGGACAUACACACACCCACUCACACAUCCUCGACGCACGUAUAAACGCAGAGCUUUUUUUGGACAAUAUAACAAUAUCAUCGACGUCUACGUGCUCUGUGUGCUCAAGAACAUUAUACGUGUGUGCGAGUGCGAUUGUGUGCGUCUGCUGCAGCAUCGUAUAUACAAUCCAACGUUUAUAUACAUAUAACACGCAAAGCGAAACAUCGCGCAGCCAUCUUGCCGUGCAAAUACAUCGUUGUGUGCGUCGAGUAUAUAGCCACUAAUACACACAUAGCGUCUACAGCUCUCUCAUCUAGCGCGUCGGUGUGCGUGCGUGCGAUUUCCUGCCUGCUCGGAGCAUAAAAAGCUAAAAAACUGGCUUACGCGUGGAAUAUCGCUGAAAUCGACUCAAUGCUCCACCAAAGUCUGCCACAAAAUCAAUACAUGAGGAUCAGGCAGAACCAAUAUUGGAAGCGCAACAGUUAGCAGUUAUCGAAUAAAGGCAACUCCUCCAACGCUUGUUAAGGUGGUCAACUAAGUUUUGGCUCAUCGAAAAAAAUCAAGUUUCGAGAAACGAGAGCUCGAAGAAAAAUAGUUUCGGAAUCGUCAAAUUUUAAUUUCACGCAUCAUCCGUCACAAUGACUAAUUCAACGCCAAAGAAUAAUCUGGCCCGCAAAAGUAUUGCGCAGGACAAGAGCGGAAGAAAAUAUCAGCGCAGUCCUAAACAAUUCGUUAAGACUGCGACGUUCUUCUCCUCGAAGAAGAGCAAGGAUCUGUCCAGCUUACCUAACUCGCCGCACAGCAGCCGUUGUAGCAGCUGUAGCAGCUCAGACGAGAUGGAUUCACCCACUAAAUUUAGUACACCUACUAAAUUCAGUACCCCUGCCAAGUUUGGUACUCCUGAAAAGUUUAUCACCCCUGUGAAAAAUUCAACGCUGGACGACUCUGGAAUAUAUAGCGCAUCUUCAUCUCCGAUUUCGAGUCCAACUCCAAGUCUAAUUAACAGCUAUUUUGCUGGGGCUAAAUUUGCUAAUUCUCCAUCAACCGAGAAUUUACCAUUACCACCUCAACGUUGGGUUGCAUUAAGUUGCAAAAAACAACUGGACUCUGAAAUGUGUAAUGUCUCUGGACUGUCUAAUACUGAUUUCCUCAAACACGUUUUGAAGAUCAAUGCUUGAUACUCUUUAGUAUCGAUGACAUUGCCUAACAAGCAUCCAUUAGUUGUGUAAGUUGGAUAAGAGAGUGUAGAAGUGAAAAAUUAAAGUGAUAAAGUAGAUUUAUAGUGUACGCCGGCGUUAUUAUCCAGAAUACAAAGACACCACCGAUACUCAAGUAGCUGCUCUGCGAGAUAGCUGCUGCAUCAUUAGAAGUUACAGUGUUGCGCAUUUUUACUUUGACUGAUUGUAUUAUUUGCAAAAUGUGUGUGAUAUUUGUAUUAUACAAAAAUGAAAGACAAUGCACAGUUCUACCAUCAAAUAUGGUGCGUUAGGUGAAAUAAUUUUGCCUGUUAACACUGAGUGAUUAACUAUGCGCAGUUUUUAAGUUUAAAGUUAAUUUUGUUUUGAGUAUACUUGAUGAUAAUGAAGAUUCAAUGAAGAGAAACAAUGGAGUGCUGGAAAAGAAGAAAGAAGAAGAGAAAUCCAUCCUCGGGCGCUGUUUGUCAUCUAAGCUUGGAGCAUAUAAGUGCCGUUGUCACCCACACACCAGUCGAAAACUUCAAUCUGCACGAGAGCUCGAUAAGUUAUUACCGAUUGGCCUUUUUUUCGAGACGUUCCCAGACUGACAGCUGCUGCUGCUGCCCUGUGUGUGCAUUACCUGCCGAAUCCCGAAAGCGUCGCCAUCCAUCCAUCCAUCCAUUCGACCGGAGCUAAAGGAGAGGAUGUAUCGCGUGUAAAUAUUGGCCAACAAAGUUAUUCUCAUAAGUUCUCGCAUCUUGGCCUCUUCUCUAUCCAGCUCAGAGAGCCGGCCUCGCCGCAGUAGCAGCAGCAGCAGCAGACACAGCAGCGGCAGUCGCAGUCAGUCACGCUUUUCUAUAAAAUCCGAGGAGGAGAGAGAGAAAGAGAGACAAAGACGACCCACUUGUAUAGUACACGUAGACGUGUGUAUCGAGGCCUAUACCUAUAUACUACAAGCCGUCGAGCGAAGUAAAGUGGGUUCUCAUGAAGCCUGGUAUACUACUACCUAUACGCGCUGUAUGUACGCGAACUCUCGAUGCAACAGCGGUGCGGCAUACAUUCACCAGAUCGCCUGGUUUCACACACCGCCGCUCGUACAUAACACAACGAGAGACAGAAAAAAAAUGGCGAAGAAAAAAACCGAACGAGCCAACCUUGUUUUGAGGGAAAAGAAGUUAUACGUAUACGCGUGUGUGACUCACUUCCAUUAAGAGUCGCGCAGCUGCUCUUCGCGGACUAGUCUUCCUUGCGGCAGCCGCGAGUCGUACCUUUUAUACGUGACGUAGUUUCCAGUCCAUAAUAUAUCCGAAAUACCCGGUAUAUAAAGACGGAUACAAAUUUCCCGGGGUCAUCCGCGUAUAAUUCAUUUUUUAUACUUCGUAUUUUUUACUUCAACUUCCAAUGCGUCCAUUCUUUCCUUCUCUCUUGUCUCUCCGCGAAAUAAAAGUCCGCGUAUGCAUGAGUGUUGAAAUUUUUCGCCGUACCCAUAUAAUCAAAAAUGUUGUACACGCACAUUCGAAAGUCUAAUUUUGUAUCAUAGCUCAAGUUAUAUUAUAGUUGCCACGUCGCAGAGAUCCAUCGCUCGCUUCGCGUCGCUCGCGCUAAGUUUUCUGUGUGCGAGCCGCAUGCACUUAAACGAUCUCGGUCAAACGUUCAUUGACUCUAAUCGCGAAAGAGAGAGAGAAAGAAAGAAGGACUGAGAUAGAGCUAUAUACAUUACACAAAUACACACAGCGAGAGAGCCGCAGCAGUACCGAGUGCAAAAGAGCACGGAGUUGUUUUUCUGUGAUAAUAAUACAUAUGUUGAGUAUUUGCUGUGACGUCGUCUGUACAAUUCGUAUUGUUUUUUUAUAUACUUUGUAAUUAUACAUGUGCACAUUGUUUCGUGCUUACAAAUUCUCCGUGAUGAAAAAGAACGAAUUAAAAACGAAUAAAGAAAUUAUUUUUUGCAAACAA